CAGCUCAUGAUGUGCACACUCAAAUUUUCAUAUUCAGACAUUCUUUAACCCUGGAACCCCAGGUUCAACAGAAAAUGUGGAAGUCCGUGUCACGUAAUUUGGAAAAUGGAGACCUGAACAGCACGCUGCCCUCCCAAGUGUGGUUGAUUCAAGAUUUGAGACAAAUAACAACUCUCAGCUAAAUGAAGGAGAGCAUGCAUGAAUACAACAAGAUCAGGACAACAAACAAACUUAGACUGGCAAGUGCUCGGUGAUGAAAGUUUCAACAAGACAGAGUAAUCACCUGCCAUGCAAUAGUAGUAGCAUAAUUAUGUCCUCCCUCAACAACACUGAAUUCACUGUUGACUUGGGUUCAAUUUUAUCCUCCUGCUCUAUUUAUCCAUAGCAUCUAAUUUUUGGCCAACCUCUUCUUACAUUAUUAUGCAAUAUAUUUCCCUUUAAUUUCUAUAGGUGUUUUUUACAUGUAAGUAUUGCCUGUUUUAUAAUUCAUUGUCAUUCAUCAUCAUUAGCAUGCCUUUUUAGCUCAAUUUUCAUUCCCUCAGUUGUUUAUCCCCUACCAAUUUAUUUACUUCAGUCUUGCACAAUCUGUAUCUCUCUCAAACUGUUAUUGAGUCGUCUUCAUAAAGCACAGAAACAGAUCUUUCAGUCCAACCCCUCCGUGCCAACCACGCAUCCCAAUCUGACCUAGUCCCAUUUGCCAGCAUUGGACCCAUGUCCGUCUAAAUUCUUCCUGUUCGUACAUGCAUCUAGGUGCCUUUUUUAAAUGUUGUAAAUCCACCCACCCUCAACACUUCCACUGGCAGCUUCUUCUGUACAACCAUCAACUUCUGCAUGGUAAAAGUUACCCCCAGAUCCUUUUUAAAUCUUUCCCUUCUCACCUUAUGUCCUCUAGUUUUAGUCUCCCCCAUCCUAGGAUAAGAAGACCUCAUAGAUUCAUUCUA